rnacentral:misc_RNA from 1 species
GAUGAAGAACGUAGCGAAAUGCGAUACGUAAUGUGAAUUGCAGAAUUCAGUGAAUCAUCGAGUCUUUGAACGCACAUUGCGCCCGCCAGUAUUCUGGCGGGCAUGCCUGUUCGAGCGUCAUUUCAACCCUCAAGCUCAGCUUGGUGUUGGGACUCGCGGUAACCCGCGUUCCCCAAAUCGAUUGGCGGUCACGUCGAGCUUCCAUAGCGUAGUAAUCAUACACCUCGUUACUGGUAAUCGUCGCGGCCACGCCGUAAAACCCCAACUUCUGAAUGUUGACCUCGGAUCAGGUAGGAAUACCCGCUGAACUUAAGCAUAUCAAUAAGCGGAGGA